rnacentral:rRNA from 1 species
UACGAAGGGGGCGAGCGUUGUCCGGAAUCAUUGGGCGUAAAGCGCGUGUAGGCGGCCAGGUAAGUCCGUUCUGAAAGCCCGGGGCUCAACCCCGGAGCGGAUGGAUACUGCGUUGGCUCGAGUCCGGAAGAGGCGAGUGGAAUUCCCGGUGUAGCGGUGAAAUGCGCAGAUAUCGGGAGGAACACCAUGGCGAAGGCAGCUCGCUGGACGGUACUGACGCUGAGACGCGAAAGCGUGGGAGCAA